AAAGAAAAUAUAGGGAGGAAAAUGUCAGACAUCUUACAUAGCAAUGUUUUUUAAUGAUACAUCUCCUAAGGUAAGGAAAAUAAAGGAAAAAA